rnacentral:rRNA from 1 species
ACGCUGGCGGCGUGGAUUAGGCAUGCAAGUCGAACGCGAACGUCCUCUUCGGAGGGCUAUUAGAGUGGCGAAAGGGUGAGGAAUGCAUAGGCAACCUACCCUCAAGUUGGGGAUAACUCGCCGAAAGGCGGGCUAAUACCGAAUGUGGAUGCAUAGUCACAUAGCAAUGCAUUUAAAGGUGGGGACCCUUCGGGGCCUGCCGCUUGAGGAGGGACUUAUGCCCUAUUAGCUUGUUGGUGAGGUAACGGCUCACCAAGGCGAUGAUGGGUAGCCGGUCUGAGAGGAUGGCCGGUCACACUGGGACUGAGACACUGCCCAGACUCCUACGGGAGGCUGCAGUCGAGAAUCAUUCGCAAUGGGCGAAAGCCUGACGAUGCGACGCCGCGUGCGGGAGGAAGGCCCUCGGGUUGUAAACCGCUGUCAAGAGUUAUGAACCGCGGUCCGGUUAAUACCCGGGCCGUCUGACAAAGGCUCUAAAGGAAGCUCCGGCUAACUCCGUGCCAGCAGCCGCGGUAAGACGGAGGGAGCAAGCGUUGUUCGGUAUCACUGGGCAUAAAGCGCGUGUAGGCGGGCCGAUCAGUCAGAAGUGAAAGCCCCCGGCUUAACCGGGGAAGUGCUUUUGAAACUGUCGGUCUUGAGUGCAGGAGGGGAGAGUGGAACUCCUGGUGGAGCGGUGAAAUGCGUAGAUAUCAGGAGGAACGCCAGUGGCGAAAGCGGCUCUCUGGCCUGCCACUGACGCUGAGACGCGAAAGCUAGGGGAGCAAACAGGAUUAGAUACCCUGGUAGUCCUAGCCGUAAACGAUGGGCACUAAGUAGUGGGGGCUCCGAUGUUCUCACUGCCGAAGCAAAUGUGCUAAGUGCCCCGCCUGGGGAGUACGGUCGCAAGGCUAAAACUCAAAGUAAUUGACGGGGGCUCGCACAAGCGGUGGAGGAUGUUGUUUAAUUCGAAACAACGCGAAGAACCUUACCGGGAUUUGACAUCCAGGUGGUAGCGAACCGAAAGGGGAGCCACCCGGGAAACCGGGAGCCUGGACAGGUGUUGCACGGCUGUCGUCAGCUCGUGUCGUGAGAUGUAGGGUUAAGUCCCACAACGAGCGAAACCCCUAUCCCUAGUUGCCAGCGGGUCAUGCCGGGGACUCUAGGGAGACUGCCUGUGGUUAACCAGGAGGAAGGUGGGGACGACGUCAAGUCAUCAUGGCCCUUACGUCCCGGGCCACAAACGUCCUACAAUGGGUGGCACAAAGAGAUGCAAGACCGUAAGGUGGAGCCAACCUCAAAAGCCAUCCCCAGUUCGGAUUGAGGGCUGAAAUUCGCCCUCAUGAAGCCGGAAUCGCUAGUAAUCGCGGAUCAGCUAUGCCGCGGUGAAUGUGUUCCCGAGCCUUGUACACACCGCCCGUCAAGCCACGAAAGUCGGGAGUGCCUGAAGUCGCUAGCCCAACCCGCAAGGGGGGGCGGCGCCCACGGUAAGACCGGCGAUUGGGACUAAGUCGAAACAAGGUA